UGGAAUUAUUAUUGUUUUUGCCUCUAUUUGUGUCUAGGAGUUUAAUGAGCCUAUCUGGGAGCCAUCGGGCAUUUUGUGCCUUAGCAUCAUAUAUACAAGCAUGUCCUUUCCCCCAUAUGAGCACAGGGUCAGGCCCGUGCCAUGUGUUGGUCAUCGGAUCUCUCCACAUAGCCUGUGCAUAAUUAUCUGCCGUGGAGGGAUGCCAAAGGCGAUCAGCAGCGGUUUUACCCGCGGAGUCAUAAGUAAGGAAAUUAAGAACAAACAGUGCAUGAUUUAGGAGUGUCUUUGCAUUACCUGUUUUCGGAUAGAGUACUUCUCCCCCCGACUGAAGUUUGAAUAACAUGUUUUUAAGGGUUAAGUGGGCUCUUUCAACAAUGCCUUGGCCUUGGGGAUUAUAGGGAAUUCCUGUUAUGUGCUUAAUACCUAACUGCGCACAGAACUGUUUAAAGCUAGAGCUGGCGUAUCCAGGCCCAUUGUCAGUUUUUAAGAUUUUAGGUGGUGGUAGAUAUGCCAGGCAUGAGAGAACAUGGGUAAUAACAUUUUUAGUUGCCUCUCCCGUUUGCAAGGAUGCACAUAGGAAACCACUACAUGUGUCAAUAGACACAUGGAUAUAUUUUAAUUUACCAAAGGGAGGGUAAUGAGUGACAUCCAUUUGCCAUAUCUCUCCUGGAACUAACCCCUGGGGGUUGAUUCCGUUAUGAGGCUCUGGGAGGAGAGUUAGACAUCCUUGACAUUGCCGAACUAUUUGGCGGGCCUGUUCUCGGGUGAUUGAAAAUUUGAGUCUAAGAGUAUGAGCAUUGAGAUGAUGUAGUUCAUGAGCCCGUUGGGCUGCAGCCAAGGGUGAGUCUGACGUGACAGAGGCUACUAAUUGAGUCGCCAGAUCAACUCUGUCAUUGCCUUUGGCAAGCGGCCCUGGAAGGCCAGUGUGAGCGCGUAUGUGCCCGAUGAAAAAAGGGGCAUCGCGGUUUAGAAUUAAUUUUUGCAAUUUUGCGAAUAGGGGGGAAGCAUUUGUAGAGGGACGUAUGUAAGGCACUGUCUCUAAUAGGGGAACAGAGGUUGCUACAUAGGCACUGUCAGUGUAAAGGUUAAAGGGGGCAUCUAUUAAAAGCUCAAAAACUUUGAUUAUUGCAGUUAGUUCAACAAGUUGUGCAGAAGAGAGGUCUGUCUGUACUCGAGUAACUUGCCCAUUAAUACUGAAAGCGGCUAUACCGGAGGAGGACCCAUCAGAGAACACCAUUACGGCCCCAGCAAUUGGCGUGGUUUUAGUCCUUUUGGGAAAGACAACCGGGGUCUUUUGAAGGAACUGGACUAAUCUGUCUGCAGGGUAAUGAUUAUCUAUUGUCCCCUGGAAGGAGGUGCAGCUAAUUGCCCAAUCAUCAUCAUGUUGAAUAAGCCAUUGUAAUUGAGAUGUAUUGUAUGGGAGGGUUAUAACUUCAGGGUCUCUCCCAAACAACUUGAGAGCUGCCUCUCGGCCUAAACGUAAGAGGGCAGCAACUAAUUGAGGAUAGGUAGCUAAGACUCUAGGGGGGGAGGCUGGCAAAUGAACCCAAAAUAGUGGAUGGUUUUGCCAAAGGACUCCUGUAGGGGAGAAGGGGGUAGGGAAAAUGAGCAGCCACAAACUUAGAUGUGGAGAGAAGUAGCUAAUGGUCUGUUCAGAAAUAGCCCGCUCUACAAUGAUUAAUGCCCUUUGUGCUUCUGAUGAAAGCGAGCGGGGGGAGGAAGGAUCAGGGUCUCCACGUAGGACAUCAAACAAGGGCUUUAACUCUCCGGUGGUCAGCUUUAAAUAAGGCCUGAGCCAGUUGAUGUCUCCUAGCAGACGCUGAAAAUCAUUAAGAGUGUUUAAGGAGCUUCUCUUUAACUGAAUUUUUUGAGUGAGGAUUUUAUUAGAAAAUAAUUCAAAGCCUAAAAAAAUUUGGGGGGGGUGGACCUGGACUUUUUCUGGGGAAAUUUGUAGUCCUCGAUCUCGGAGGGCAGUGACUAGCUGUUGACUGGCCGCAUAGAGCUGUUGCUGGUCAGGACCGGCAAGAAGAAUAUCAUCCAUAUAAUGGAUAAUAUACAAAGUGGGGAAGAGCAACCUAAAGGGGUCUAUAGUCUGGGCUACAAACUUUUGGCAAAGAGUGGGGCUGUUGGCCAUUCCUUGUGGGAGAACUCUCCACUGAAACCGAGGAGAAGGCCCUACACAAUUGGUAAUGGGUAUACUAAAGGCAAAACGUUUGCAAUCAUCAGGAUGCAAAGGUAUGGAGAAAAAGCAAUCUUUUAGAUCAAUUACUAAUUUGACAUACCCUUUAGGGAUGGCUAUUGGAGAGGGAAUUCCCGGUUGUAAUGCGCCCAUAGAGACCAUAGUCUUAUUAACCGCCCUGAGGUCUUGUAGGAGCCUCCACUUGCCUGAUUUCUUUUGGAUUACAAAGAUUGGGGUGUUCCAAGGGGAUGUAGAAGGUUCAAUAUGUCCAGCAGCCAGCUGUUCUUGCACUAACUCUAUGGCUGCAUUUAAUUUUAUAGUGGUAAGGGGCCAUUGAUCGAUCCAGACAGGAACAUCACUUUUCCAAGUAAUCUUGUCUGCCUGGAGUGCAGGAGGAGCAACGGCCCUUACGAAAAAUGUUUUUCAAACCCUAAACCUGAGCGGUCUAUCUUAGGCGUGGCCAGUAUCGGGUUGGGAUCUCCCUGUUUUAGUUUGCCCAACCCCUGACCAGGGAGGUAACCCUGUGAAAGCAUCUGCUGUGUUACAACUUCAUUAGGGCUACACAUGAUGACCUUCAUUUGAGAAAGGAUAUCUCUUCCCCAAAGAUUUACCGGCAACCCAGGAACUACGAAGGGUUGAAUGAAUCCGGUAUUUCCUUCUUCAUCUUCCCAGUUUAAUAACUGUGAGCUCUGUAAGGUGUUUCUUGACUGCCCAAUUCCUUGUAGAUGGGUCAAGGAAGCGUGUAAGGGCCAGCUGGAGGGCCAUGAAGCCUGAGAUAUGACCGUAGAGUCGGCCCCCGAAUCUAAAAUUCCUUCAAAUACUUUUCCUUGGAUCUUAAGUUUAAGAGUGGGGCGUUCUUUAGUAAUAGCUUGGAUCCAAUAUAAGUCUGAAGAACCUGGGGUAGAGGAGCCUCGCUGCUUAUGAAUAGCAGGGUGAGAUGUACUUAAAGGGAGGGGGAGCGCCUGCGCAAGGCGCUGACCUUUCAUAAUGCUGACAGGGCACUGGGGGGCACUAGCAAGAAUUUUUAUUUCUCCAGUAUAGUCAUUGUCAACUAAGGAAGGGUGGACAAUAAGGCCGUUUAUUGUGGUGGAAGCUCGCCCUAAAAUUAGAAAAUAAGUAUCUUUGGGAGGUGGGCCAUAAAUUCCUGUGGAAAUAAUUGUAAUUCCCUCUUCAGGCGUUAAUAUUGUUGAGGAGGAGGCACAGAGGUCAAGUCCUGCACUCCCGGGUGUGGCCCGAUAGAGGGCGGGAGUGCUACAGCUAGGCUGUUCCCCGAGGCCGGCUGAAAUGGAAUUGGCUGGGGGGCCCGGGGCUGGCCCCUCAGCUCGUUUCCCUGAAAAGGGGGGGUGAAAGGAUUUGUGGUACUGUAAAAAGGAUUUGUUGGAUUGUUACGGCACUCUUUGGCCCAGUGCCGCCCCUUAUGGCAGCGAGGGCAAAUACCGGGGACUGACCCAACUCUAGGAGGAGGAGCUGUGGUAGGGCAUUGGCGAGCGAAAUGGCCUGGCUGUCCACAUUUAAAGCAGUUACGCAUAGGCGGUGCGCCCUUGGGGAAGGAAGGAGGAUAAGAAGCCGGGGGAGUUUGAACAGCGGCACCUACAGCUAAAAGGGCUUGGACUUUGGAUGUAAAAGGAUCGACAUCUCUACACAUUCUCAGCAUUUCAUCAAGAGUUUUGUCUCGAGUCUUACCGCGGAGGACGGCUCGACAUGCCGAAUUGGCGUUUUCAUAGGCUAGCUGUUUUACAAUCUUAUCAUUGGCAGCCGCGGAACCAAGGGUCCUUUCGGUGGCCUCUAACAGUCUGCUAACAAAUUCGCUAUAGUCUUCUUGCGAGCUUUGAGUGAUCUUAGUUAGAGGAGUGUUAGCAGUCCUGGAAGCAGGGAGUGAUAUCCAAGCGCCCAAAGCGGCAUCUUUCACUUGAGAUAAAAGACCAAGGGGAAGGCGCUGCUGCCUGGUUUCAGAGAUAUAUCUGCCCUGUCCCGUAAGCUUAUCAAAAGUCUAGGACGCUGUUGGGGAAUGAGGGUCUUUUACAUUGGCAGCAGCGAUGGUCUGACAGCGGUCAGCAAAAUCUGCCUUCCAAGUUAAAAACUGACCACGGGUAAGCACAGCCUGGACUAUACGCAGCCAUUCACCUGGGAGUAAAUGUCCUCUUCGAGACAGCGAAUCAAGAACAGAAAGGGUAAAAGGGGCAUUGGGGCCAUAAGCUUUAACGGCCGCGUUCAGCUCUUUUAAGCUUUUGAAAUGGAUUUUGUGAAAUUCUCUAGGGCCAUCAGCAGGCUCGGCCGGCUCUGGCUCAGCCUGCUCCUCUCCCUCACUUUCUAUUUCCUGAGCAGCAGGGGCGUCUUCGCCGUCGCUUUCAAGAUCGCCCUCUUCCGGACUAUGUGUUGUGGAGGUGGGGCCAGAGCGGGCGGAGGCCCGGGAUGAAUUUCGGGGCCAUUAAUGAUAAACCACGGACAGACUUCAUCAACAAAAAUAAAAAACUUUACCAAGUCUUUCUUUUUAACUCGAA